rnacentral:rRNA from 1 species
GACGAACGCUGGCGGCGUGCUUAACACAUGCAAGUCGAACGGAAAGGCCCUGCUUGCAGGGUACUCGAGUGGCGAACGGGUGAGUAACACGUGGGUGAUCUGCCCUGCACUUCGGGAUAAGCCUGGGAAACUGGGUCUAAUACCGGAUAGGAGCCAUUUUUAGUGUGAUGGUUGGAAAGUUUUUUCGGUGUAGGAUGAGCUCGCGGCCUAUCAGCUUGUUGGUGGGGUAAUGGCCUACCAAGGCGGCGACGGGUAGCCGGCCUGAGAGGGUGGACGGCCACAUUGGGACUGAGAUACGGCCCAGACUCCUACGGGAGGCAGCAGUGGGGAAUAUUGCACAAUGGGCGCAGGCCUGAUGCAGCGACGCCGCGUGGGGGAUGACGGCCUUCGGGUUGGAAACUCCUUUCGCUAGGGACGAAGCUUUUUGUGACGGUACCUAGAUAAGAAGCACCGGCUAACUACGUG